rnacentral:rRNA from 1 species
GAUGAACGCUGGCGGCGUGCCUAGUACAUGCAAGUCGAGCGAACAGACGAGGAGCUUGCUCCUCUGACGUUAGCGGCGGACGGGUGAGUAACACGUGGAUAACCUACCUAUAAGACUGGGAUAACUUCGGGAAACCGGAGCUAAUACCGGAUAAUAUAUUGAACCGCAUGGUUCAAUAGUGAAAGACGGUUUUGCUGUCACUUAUAGAUGGAUCCGCGCCGCAUUAGCUAGUUGGUAAGGUAACGGCUUACCAAGGCAACGAUGCGUAGCCGACCUGAGAGGGUGAUAGGCCACACGGGAACUGAGACACGGACCAGACUCCUACGGGAGGCAGCAGUAGGGAAUCGUCCGCAAUGGGCGAAAGCCUGACGGAGCAACGCGGCGUGAGUGAUGAAGGUCUUCGGAGCGUAAAACUCUGUUAUUAGGGAAGAACAAAUGUGUAAGUAACUAUGCACGUCUUGACGGUACCUAAUCAGAAAGCCACGGCUAACUACGUG